rnacentral:rRNA from 1 species
UACGUAGGCAGCAAGCGUUGUUCGGAAUUACUGGGCGUAAAGAGUGUGUAGGCGGUGUUCUAAGUCUGUUGUGAAAUCUCCCGGCUUAACUGGGAGGGUGCGGCGGAAACUGGAAUGCUAGAGGAUGGGAGAGGCAAGCGGAAUUCCUGGUGUAGCGGUGAAAUGCGUAGAUAUCAGGAGGAACACCUGUGGUGUAGACAGCUUACUGGACCAUUUCUGACGCUGAGACACGAAAGCGUGGGUAGCAAACAGG